GAGGAUUUACCCAGAACCUCCUGGGGCAGCUGGACAGCAGGGGGCGGCAGGGCCUCAGCUGGUACCCACGUUUGCUUCCUCCUGCGGGUCAGCGGGUGUCUCCUUCGGUUCCAUCUCAUUACACCAGAAUUGUUAAAAGGCCUUAACAGCCUCAGCGAAGAACUGAAGCUGCCCUGAAGAGACUCUGCCUUGUAGGUGUCAGCCUCACCAUGUGCUGAGGAGGUCCAUCCUGCUCUUCAGACACUUCAGACUUGCUUUUCCAGCCUAUACAAUCAUAGUUGAUGGAUGGCCAUAUUUUCGAGGAUAAUAUGUAUCUGUCACAGAUUAACACAGGAGAGUGAUACAAAUAUACUCUAAAGCACGGGGAAGUGUUGGUUUUGGAAAUCCUGGAAUCAUCACUUUCUGGCUUGAAAACCCCAUGAAGCAGAGAAAUCAGUUACUACUUGUCCUUGGAUCUUCAAGGUGGUGAUGGUCACAGAACAAAGCCCAUCAACUCUGGUGUGACUGCUAUUUCACGGUUUCCUCUAAAGCAACAAUUCUCUGGAUGUGAAUGGACUGAACAACUUGGUAUUUUAUUUAACCAUACAACUUAAGCAUCUAUUUGUUUUAAACAUUUUCAUAUUUUAAACAUCUUAUGUGAUAUUUAUCUAAGUAAACAUUUAAAAAGGAAAUAUAUAUUGGCAUUAAAAAAAGCUAUUGCUUUUUUACUUGUCACUUAUUACCACUAUGCUUUAGGGUAUAACUAUCCAUUUGAGCCAUAUGAAAUUGCUGAUAUUUGACCAUUUUGACCUACAUAAUGGCUAUUUCAUUUGGUUCAAUCUAAAUACUUACAAUACCUACUCUGGAAGGAAAGUAUCAGCAAGAUAUCCAUAUUAUAUUAAAUUAGAAAAAAAGAUAUAAUAUUGAGCUUCUAGUGCAAGCCCAAAAAUAUUUUUUAAAUUAUAAUUAAGAAUAGAAAAAUGGUAAGAAGGAAGUAUUAAAAUUGAUCAAUGGAUGCCUUUGAAUAAUAAAUAAGAGGAUGGGAUAUUUUAUUUACUGUUCUUAUAUGGUACAUAUGUAUUACAUUUAUUUAAUAACUUACUGUUUUGUGGUUAUUGAAAUAGCAUAUGUUGUUUUUGGAAAUCUUGGAAAAUAGGAAAAUGAUAAAGAAGAAAACUAUGCUGAGAUUUUGUGAUGGCUUUUUACCAACUCCCUUCUUAUUAAAAAGAGCACUGUUGGGACAUCUGGGUGGCUCAGUCAGUUAAGCAGCUAACUCUUGAUUUUGGCUCAGGUCAUGAUCUCAUUGUUCGUGAGUUUGAGCCCUGAAUCAGGCUCCAUG